UUUUACAAUGGAGAGUUUGAUCCUGGCUCAGGAUGAACGCUAGCUACAGGCUUAACACAUGCAAGUCGAGGGGAAACGAUAUUGGAAGCUUGCUUCCGAUAGGCGUCGACCGGCGCACGGGUGAGUAACGCGUAUCCAACCUGCCCAUCACUUGGGGAUAACCUUGCGAAAGUAAGACUAAUACCCAAUGAUAUCUCUAGAAGACAUCUGAAAGAGAUUAAAGAUUUAUCGGUGAUGGAUGGGGAUGCGUCUGAUUAGCUUGUUGGCGGGGUAACGGCCCACCAAGGCGACGAUCAGUAGGGGUUCUGAGAGGAAGGUCCCCCACAUUGGAACUGAGACACGGUCCAAACUCCUACGGGAGGCAGCAGUGAGGAAUAUUGGUCAAUGGACGAGAGUCUGAACCAGCCAAGUAGCGUGCAGGAUGACGGCCCUAUGGGUUGUAAACUGCUUUUAUAAGGGAAUAAAGUGGGAGUCGUGACUCUUUUUGCAUGUACCUUAUGAAUAAGGACCGGCUAAUUCCGUGCCAGCAGCCGCGGUAAUACGGAAGGUCCGGGCGUUAUCCGGAUUUAUUGGGUUUAAAGGGAGCGUAGGCCGGAGAUUAAGCGUGUU
rnacentral:rRNA from 1 species